GAUGAACGCUGGCGGCGUGCCUAAUACAUGCAAGUCGAGCGAACGGACGAGAAGCUUGCUUCUCUGAUGUUAGCGGCGGACGGGUGAGUAACACGUGGAUAACCUACCUAUAAGACUGGGAUAACUUCGGGAAACCGGAGCUAACACCGGAUAAUAUUUUGAACCGCAUGGUUCAAAAGUGAAAGACGGUCUUGCCGUCACUUAUAGAUGGAUCCGCGCUGCAUUAGCUAGUUGGUAAGGUAACGGCUUACCAAGGCAACGAUGCAUAGCCGACCUGAGAGGGUGAUCGGCCACACUGGAACUGAGACACGGUCCAGACUCCUACGGGAGGCAGCAGUAGGGAAUCUUCCGCAAUGGGCGAAAGCCUGACGGAGCAACGCCGCGUGAGUGAUGAAGGUCUUCGGAUCGUAAAACUCUGUUAUUAGGGAAGAACAUAUGUGUAAGUAACUGUGCACAUCUUGACGGUACCUAAUCAGAAAGCCACGGCUAACUACGUG
rnacentral:rRNA from 1 species